ACAUGAUGGUGAGGGAAAUUUCUGAGCAUACUUUUAAAUCUCUCCCAAGAUUGGUAGAGAUUAUUUCCUUUUUUCUAUCUAAAACUCAAAAUCUUACUUCUUAAAUGU
rfam:Capsicum annuum cultivar Zunla-1 chromosome 10, whole genome shotgun sequence